rnacentral:rRNA from 1 species
UACGUAGGGUGCAAGCGUUAAUCGGAAUUACUGGGCGUAAAGCGUGCGCAGGCGGCUUUGCAAGACAGAUGUGAAAUCCCCGGGCUUAACCUGGGAACUGCAUUUGUGACUGCAUGGCUGGAGUGCGGCAGAGGGGGAUGGAAUUCCGCGUGUAGCAGUGAAACGCGUAGAUAUGCGGAGGAACACCGAUGGCGAAGGCAAUCCCCUGGGCCUGCACUGACGCUCAUGCACGAAAGCGUGGGGAGCAAACAGG